rnacentral:lncRNA from 1 species
UAUUGUCAAGUUAUUAAAACUUUACAACAUAUUAACACUUAAUAAUAUUUUCAUGCAUUGAGGAGAGUUCUAUAUAGUCCAAAUGUAGAUACAUUCAAAACUACGUCAAACGACAUUUGUAACCUCAAUCUAUUUACUUUGUGGUCUUCAUCCAAUGUACAACAUGUCGAAGAAUGCAUUACCGUUGAAGUAUAUCUAUAGUCAGAACGGUCCUCGAGGGUUACCUCACAAAUUUUUUGGAGGGGUUUCCUGCAUCACGAACAAAGUGAGAAUACAUUCGAAAACCUACAAACGGGAAAUCUAUGAUAUUGAAAAAGUGAUCACAAAACUAAAAAAACCCACGUAAAAAAAAGUCCAAAGCAACACUCUAAAGAAAGACAAUGUUUUACUUAAGGGGCUCGGUUGAUAAAAUCUCCAUCAAGGAACCCACAAAAAUCUCUGGCUAGAUGAAACAGAGAGGAGCAACUUAAGACACUACGAUUAUUUAAAUAAUACAUAAGAAGGAGGUAAAUACAUCUGUGAGAACCAAGAUCAAAGUAAGCGCAUCUAAAAGAAUCCCUUUGUUCACAUAAAUUACAAAGUGAAGGGGAAAAAAAUGAAGGAAAACUAACUGUACAAAAAAUAAAUAAGGAAAACUAUGUACCUAGAGGAGAAGAAAUAUAAGAGAAUGACAUCAUGUUUACAGAGAAAAGGAGACAUUAGCUAUUAAAUAUUGUCCCAUUCCAACUUUAUUUUACUUUAAUAGUCAUGUCUACGUUUCAAGAUCAAAGAUCGAGACUUAUAUAACAUUCUUCGAUAAAAAACCAAAUCUCACCACUGCAUACAGAGUCGGGACAAUCAAGACUUGCUUCAUAGAGAUUUUGAGGAAGUCACAUGAAGGUUCGGUGCUACUGCUUAUUUGAUUCUCGUAAGACCAGCAAGAAGUAAUAUAAGAAGAGCAUGGUCUAUAGCAGCAUCCUGAUUUUGGAGUUCUUUAGAUACUAAUUUUAGCACACUAUCAUUUUGUUCUAGAUUUUUGAAUUUUUCAAUAUUCUUUGUGGACGUCUUUGUGAUGCUUACGGAGAAGUAGUAGCUCAAACAUAUACAAAUUUCUGUGUGUUUAUAUAUGCAGAUCAGUCUUUUUGCACAUUAAUUUUACAAAGCACAGUCCUUGGUCAUGCUCAAGGAUUCUGAUUCCCAGGUCAACCAAACCGGAGGAUAUAUUUUAAUCAAGAUCAAAGCGUUCGACUCUGUUGCAUGAAAGACUAAAAAUAACAAUACUCAUCUUAAAGAAGUAAAGGCUACCAAGGAAAACAUAAAGGUCGAUAAUAAAACACAUUACCCCUUUAGAGCAGCACAAGCAGCUUGCAAAUGUGAGAAUUCCUCAAACUUGGAUGUCAUUGAAUCGUGAUUUGGAAUUGCUCCAUGAAAAAGAAUUUGAGAUAGUCGUCUUUCAUAGUCCUUAUUACAAACUGGGACUUGUGCCAUGGAGCUUCUAUGUAGCUACACAGAUUUUAUGGUACAUGAAGGUCUUAAAUAUUCAAGAGUUGACUUGAGUCUAAGAUCUAUAUAUGUACUUCCAUGAUCAGGCCAAAGGGUUGUCAUAUUUAGAGUGCAUAAAUUCCUAAACAUAUAUAUCAAGCACAUAUUCUUGUACAAAAUAUCAUGAAAUCUCGGCAUAAUUAAGAAAUUUAUAAUAGAAAUAGAUUUAAGAUCUAGAAUAGCUUACAAUGAAACAUCUUCAAAUGCAAAACGGCAUCCAAAGCCCCUGCAGAUCCCACCUGAUAUAGAUUAAUCCCAAAUCAGUUUUUACCACCUAAAUCAUAUUCCAACACUAUGUAUCUUGAAGAGAUGAGACAUCAUAUAAACGUGAUCUUCUUGGACCAUUUAGAAAGUUUAGGUCGGUCCUUUGUUUCUCUUACACACUUGAAUCUCAUUUGUAGAAUCGUUCAUAUUAUAUGUUUUCGCUUACUCUACAGCUUAUUUAUCCAUAUAUCUUCAUAGAUCCAAUCACCAAAAAAGUGAUUCUGCCGAUUUCUGUUGUUUUAGCUCAUUUAGGAGAGAACAUGAGUUACCAUCAAUGUUCAGAAUACACAGAGCAGCUAAGAAGAGACGCAUUGCGAUAUGUAAACUUGAGAAUAAGCGAAAGCCUGUAGCUUGUUUCCAAUACUUAACACUAUAUUUGGGUUGCCCGACCACUUCAGCAUUAAGUCAUUCCUAAUAUUAAGUGCAUAACAAAACAUCAAGGACAGACAACCUAAAAUUUAUGAACAAAUAAGUACAUCAACAUGGACAAAGAUAAUAUGACAUACAUACAUGUAGUUCUAUCAAAACCACCUGAAUAGAAUAGAAUUGAUCUUCAGGGUUCAAAUCGGACAUAACGAAAUCAAUUGCUGGAAAAUUAUUACUUAUAUUAAAGUUGGGUUUAGAAAGAAUCAGCUUUUAAACCUUUUUUUAAUGGUCAGAGAUAUGUUAUCCAUAAUUGCAUUCAACCAAGGAAACUUCGUCAAACCCAUUCAUAGUGAAAAAGACAAACCAUUAGACACUAAGUGUUCCAUUUUAGAAAAUUUAAGCAGGAGAAAUAUUGACACUCCAUUGAAUCAAGCCAAAGUAUCUGCUACCUCAAUAGACAAAUACAAUUUUACCUAUUCAUCAAAAUCAUAACUUUAAGUCUCUUGCCUUUAAAAUUAAUUCAAUAUAAAAGUAAAUAGCCAUUCCAUGUAGAACCUACAAAUGGGGCGGAAAAAGGAGAGUCAGCUACUAAAUUCUUUGCUGGUUCAAAUUUAUCCUACAAUAGAUAGAUAGGAACGAAGGUAAAAUUUCUAGUAUGCAACAUAAUAUUGCACACAAUCUGAGAAAAAACUUGCCUGUAUACAAUGUAUAGGAGGAAACCAAAAAGAACAAAAUCUGGAAUUCCACCAUUUUUCCGGUGAGAGAUAUAAGUCUACUUUCUUAUCCCAGACACUAAGAUCAGAUUGAAUAACCAAAGAAAGAAAAACUCUAAAAAAUUCAGAUGACAGAACAUCAUACAUACAUGUAAAUUGAAGUAAAAAAGAAGAUUUGGCAAAAAAUAGGAGUAGUAACUUACCUGAAAAUUGAAAGAGUAAUCUGAAAAGACAGAAAUUAACUCGAAAAGGAAUGGAAUGGAACCGGAAAAGUAGAAUGGAGGAAGCUUUGCGGUGGCUAUGUGCUGGCUGUAGGCACGAAAGCCACCUAGAAAUGUAUACAUCAGCUAAAAUGCAAAUUGACUAAAUUGCGAUCGAUAAUAUAUAAAUGACCUAAAAGCACACACGUCGAACUAAGAAUCUUUUUCAUGCUUCUAUAUAGUAGAAAUGUAGUAGCUGAUAAAGGACACACAUCAACUUUUACUUUGCAAACAGAAUUUGUAAAAAUCUAAGAACCCUCAUUCACUAGAAUAUCCCAGCACAAAUUAACAUGAACAAAUUGAAUCACUUUGUAAAAGCAGGAAAAAUAAAUUUCACCUUCUUUUCCUUCAUCUCCUCUUCAUCCUUGUCUUCGUCAUCUUCUUAAUCCGCAUCUUCUUUGAUAACAUCUUUUAUAUUUUCAGAUUGAAUCUCCUUCAGCAGCCUCACCAGUAAACCAUACAUGAGGAGUUAUUUUGUCCCGAAUUGUUGAGCUACACAAGGAAGAACAAAAUAUAACAUCAUAUUCACUCUUCUAAUAUAAACAACAACAAUUUAUAACCCGUAACACAAAAUAGAAUUUGUUGGGACAAAAUAUCAAAGUAAAAGUUGAUUCUGGCUCUCUUCAAACUGCGAGAAUAUAUUUGACACAGUUACCACAUAAAAUAAAAAUAUUUAGUUUAUUUAUCAAAAAGAAUAAAGUCGAAGUUAUGGAACCUACAGUGUUGUCAUCAUGGAAGAUGUUAUCGAAAAAGAUGAGGAUUAUGGGUUUCAAUAAAUCACUCAAUAAUUUUAGUGGAUAUUUUCUUUCUUUCCAUGUACAAUAAAUUUUGCAUUUUAUGGGAUGUUAUUUAUGAUGCUUCCUCUAUGUUGGUAUAUUUUGUAUAGCAUUUUAUAUUGAGGCACUUCCUAAUGAGAGAACCUUCAAUUUUCAAACUACACGGCCCGAUGUAAGCGUUGUGUUGCAUCUAGUUAUAAAUUCCACAAAAGUACAUACCCUACGCUCCUGAAAUUGAGUUGCAGGCUUUUAACAAGCCCCCUUCUUGUACUAUCCCUGACUUUGACAUUAGCUGAAUAAUCCAAUUGACGCUUUGCUAUAGUCUUGUUGUGCUGCAUGGUAUGUUCUAAAAACACCAAUUCUUAUAAUGAGUUAUCCGACCUUGUAUUUGUAAUAAUAGUUUGUCCUAGAUUCAAUUAAAUGUUGAUCCAAAGAGCCAUAGCUAUGUGACGUUCAGAAGGAUCUCAUUAUUUAAUAUAGCAACAUAAAUAUGAAUCUUCUUUCUUGUCGUGAGAAGAGUAGAGCACUAUAUAACAACAUCCACAAUAGAAUUUACCAUCAUCUUCUUGUCAUGGUGCUGAUCAGACUUUUAUUUUUCAGGGCACUUCCAGCAAAGGAGGGAGUUACCUCAUUUUCAAGGAGCAUUUCUGCUAGCAUCGUUGAACAAAUAUUUUGUUGCUUUAACAAUUCUGCAAUGUACCAAGGAAAAAAUUAAAACAACUUAAAACAAAAACACAACAAAUUGUGCCACAACCGUAGGAAGGAACCAUAGGUCAAAGAGAACAGAGG